GUAAAGACUACGAAAGGACACCUCAAGACAAAAUAAUGAAAAGGGUUUGAGAAACCACCAUUAAUAUGGCCAAUGCUGAUUUCUCCAUGUUUAGUGUGUAAAGAUGCAGAGUCUUAAUUCCGUGAGCUAAAAUCUUCCGGCACAUUUCAGUUCCAAGGUGAAUGCCAUAGGAUCUGACAGCUUCUUCAUUGUCCUUUAUAGGCUCCAAUGCAGCGGUAAUCUCAGCAGGUACCUACAACACAUCAUUAUCAAGUGAAAACAUUUAAUUUCACCAAUCUAAACGGUAACCUCAGCUUCUUCACCAUAACUUUAGGAAUGCUAAUUUUAACUGUGAAACUCACAAACCAUAAUAUAGCUCAACAUUUAGACAUACGUCCAGGCACCAAUUCUUCAAAGAACAACUUCAAAAUGACAAUCUCAAAACAAACUUUUAUUUUAGAGCACAUACCUUUGUUUUGCAAAAACCUGUCAUACGUAAGAAGCCCUUAUAGUUAUUGAUGGGCAUUAUCCCAGGAACAAUGGGACAUGUAAUUCCAAUUUGGCGACAAUCGUCCACAAAUUUGAGGAAGAUAUCAGUGUCAUAGAAGAGUUGAGUGACAAUAAGAUCUGCUCCAGCAUCAACCUGUGCAAGAAACAAAGAUUAACCCAAAGUCGGCGAAAAUGAAAAUGAAAAGCAGCUUAACAAGCAAUGAAGAAAACCUUUUUCUUCAAAUAUGCAAGAUCACUCUGAUAAGCUUCUGGAGGAGCCACGCCAUCGUUUGCAAUUACAUCUGGGUGUCCCUCUGUGUAAAUAAAUGUGAAAAUUCAUAUUACUAGCUAAUUCUCAAAAGAUGUGGAAAUAAUAAAAGGAAAAUGGAGAAAAAUGAAGAACCUGGAUAUCCAGCGACAGUGAUGCCGAAGUAAUCACCGUAGUUGCCCCUGAUAUGUUUCACCUGGAAAUCAACCAAACAGAGUAUAUGAAAUUGAAGACGACAGACCAGACGUGCAAAAAGUUGAAACAAGAAAAGGGGGUUGGAAGUGAGAAGUACCAAGUCUAGGGCACAGGCAAAGCCACCCUCGACCUGCACGAACUUGUCCUGUCCAUGGGGAGGAUCCCCGCGGAGGGCAAGCACGUUCUGGAUUCCAUUGGACUUGAUAUUGUUCAGGGCGUGAUCGAUCUUCUCAACAGGCAUGUUGGUGCAAGUGAGGUGCAUCAUAGUUUCCACGCAAAUCAUGUUCUGCAUCUUGUUAGCGAUGUCGAGCGUCAGAUCAGCGGUGGAGCCGCCAGCACCCCAAGUGAUAUCACAGAAUGCGGGGUUGUGAGUGACCAUACGAUCC
rnacentral:lncRNA from 1 species